UAUAUACUCCCUCCGUUCCAAAAUUCUUGUCUUAGAUUUGUCUAUAUAUGAAUUAUCUAGUCACUUUUUGGUAUUUAGAUACAUUCAUUUUUAGACAAAUCUAAGANNNGAAUUUUGGGACGGAGGAAGUAUGUA
rfam:Hordeum vulgare subsp. vulgare, WGS project CAJW01000000 data, contig: morex_contig_36971